AGAAAUUUUUCGGGGUUUCCCCUUCGCUGGAAGUCCCCUAGUUAAGGCUGUUGUUGCUGGGGAACUCUGUACAGCGUUUCCUCUGGUUGAGAGCUAAACCUCAUAAUCUUAAUCUUUGAUUAGCUUUCCCCUGACCCCUCUGCAAAGCUGGCCACUCGAAGGCUUCUCCCGGGGGUGAGGAAGACACCUGUGUGAGCGACGGUGUCCUUCAGGUUGUGAAGAGUCCCAUCCAGAUCACUGCCCUUUCAUGGUUGUUAUGGCGGCCCUGUGACUUCAGCUAAUCUUGGUACUUAAUAUCCAUAGAAACAAUUGCUUCUACAAUGGACAAGAGGACAGCUAACAGGCUAGAUUAAAAUGAAGAUUACAUAUAAAAUCAC
rnacentral:lncRNA from 1 species